CGGGGGUGCCCGAGUUCGGUCGAAGGGGCCAGACUUAAGAUCCGGUGGCCAUAGGGCCUUCGAGGGUUCGAACCCCUCCCCCCG
rnacentral:tRNA from 1 species